rnacentral:lncRNA from 1 species
AAGACUAUUAGUUCACCUUAUCUUUAUUGAGUAAACAACCAAAAUGAAUUAUUUUAAUUAAUUCAAUGAAUCGCUUUUACUUUCACGUAAUAACAUCACUCUUAAAAGAACGUACUAACAUCUUUUACUUUGAUGUAACAGGAUUUUUAAACAAAGUUUACAAAAUCGACAAAUCAAAUCUUACUUUCACGUUAUAGUAGCGGUCCAUUCGAGUAAAAAUUUUCCAGGCGAGCUCCGUUGCAGUCGUUUCCAAUUCCCUGUAAGCGAUUGGCAUCGGCAGUCAUGUGGUUGGUGGCCCCUGACAAAUCACAGAAGAAGAAGGGUUCGCAUCGAGAAUACGAUCGGAUCCCUGACCCCGUUCAUUUCUUCCCCGUCAAAAAGUCGAAGCACCCAGAGAGGACCUGUACGAGCUGUAGAAGAAUUAAAGAGGUCUCUCGGUCAUGUAAAAGAGGAAUAUUUAGGCAAGAGAUAUUUUGGAUAAGACACGAAGCACAAGGGUUGAUCUGCAGAAGACGGUUCAGGGGGAAUUAAAGCACUUUCUUUCGGGACCAUCAGAAUAAGAAUGAAUAGAUAGAUGCAGAACGGACGGUCUAUUCCAGGCUUCCCAGACUCGUAACAUACGGCUAGGAACAAACAAGAAGAGAGUCAGUAGUCUUUGCCGUUGCAGGUCCCUCUCCUUCCGUUGAAACGACCCUCUUUUUUUUUGUUCACCGCAAAUCCCAAGAAUUGAACAAGACUUACUCUUAAAAGAGGUCACUCGAAAACCUUACAUCGGCGAAUCAUCACAUCGAGAUCGAUUUUCAUUUAAAAUUAUAGGACAUGCAUGCACAAUGCCGAUGAGAGGAAAGUUGGCC